rnacentral:rRNA from 1 species
AGUGAACGCUGGCGGUAGGCCUAACACAUGCAAGUCGAACGGCAGCACAGUAAGAGCUUGCUCUUACGGGUGGCGAGUGGCGGACGGGUGAGGAAUACAUCGGAAUCUACUUUUUCGUGGGGGAUAACGUAGGGAAACUUACGCUAAUACCGCAUACGACCUACGGGUGAAAGCAGGGGAUCUUCUGACCUUGCGCGAUUGAAUGAGCCGAUUUCGGAUUAGCUAGUUGGCGGGGUAAAGGCCCACCAAGGCGACGAUCCGUAGCUGGUCUGAGAGGAUGAUCAGCCAAACUGGAACUGAGACACGGACCAGACUCCUACGGGAGGCAGCAGUGGGGAAUAUUGGACAAUGGGCGCAAGCCUGAUCCAGCCAUACCGCGUGGGUGAAGAAGGCCUUCGGGUUGUAAAGCCCUUUUGUUGGGAAAGAAAAGCAGCAGGUUAAUACCCCGCUGUUCUGACGGUACCCAAAGAAUAAGCACCGGCUAACUUCGUG